rnacentral:rRNA from 1 species
AGUGAACGCUGGCGGUAGGCCUAACACAUGCAAGUCGAACGGCAGCACAGUAAGAGCUUGCUCUUACGGGUGGCGAGUGGCGGACGGGUGAGGAAUACAUCGGAAUCUACUUUUUCGUGGGGGAUAACGUAGGGAAACUUACGCUAAUACCGCAUACGACCUACGGGUGAAAGCAGGGGAUCUUCGGACCUUGCGCGAUUGAAUGAGCCGAUGUCGGAUUAGCUAGUUGGCGGGGUAAAGGCCCACCAAGGCGACGAUCCGUAGCUGGUCUGAGAGGAUGAUCAGCGACACUGGAACUGAGACACGGUCCAGAGUCCUACGGGAGGCAGCAGUGGGGAAUAGUGGACAAUGGGCGGAAGCCUGAUCCAGCCAUACCGCGUGGGUGAAGAAGGCCUUCGGGUGGUAAAGCCCUUUUGUUGGGAAAGAAAAGCAGCAGGUUAAUACCCCGCUGUUCUGACGGUACCCAAAGAAUAAGCACCGGCUAACUUCGUG